rnacentral:lncRNA from 1 species
CUUUCAUUACCUUUUCACCAUUUUAACCAAACAUCAUACACUCUCUCAUUCCAUCACUUAUCAUACCAAAUUAUGCCAGAACCCUUUAGUUCAUAGAUUGAGUCAGAAUCAGAAAUUGAAUGGCUUGCAGAACAAAGUCGACGGCUCGCAGAACAUCGAUGGGUCACAGAUAUGGUCUCCAUCCAUUUGAUAAUACAUAUCUGUUACUCGUGGACUAUGUUCCUCGACCCACCGACUAUGUAUCUGACCAAAACUAGCGCCGCCCGAUAUACGAUGAAUAGACACGAUCUGAGAAUCCCCAGGAUCCUCAUAAAGAUGAUCUUCUCCGGAUCCUCUUGGGCCAAAUAUUGGAUUUUUGGAGAUGACAUUCCCCAUUUCUUCAUCCAAAAGCUCUCUCCCACUUCCCGAUCGGAAAACCACCAUUGUAAGGUAAACUUUCUCAAUUUCUGAUCAAAUUUUGUAGUUUUUGAAAAUGUAUUUCUUUCUUUUUUCACAAAGUAUAUUAUUUAUGGGAUUUUGUUAACUGUUAAUCGUUGGUGAUUAGUAAGGAAAAUGAAGCAAAUGAUACUUUCGAGUAUGGAUCGUUUACUUGGAGGAUCGAUGACUUCUCUAAGCUCAAGGACAACAUACAUUGCUCCCAAACUUUCAACAUUGCUGAACUCAAAUAACUGACUACGCUGAAGACAUCCAUUGAUAUCUUUGAAUUAAUUGGAUUCAACCAAUAUCUCUCCUGACAAUUGAGCUACUUCACAGAAGUUAUUGUUCUGCAUGCAUAUCCUAUGACUCUUGAGAUUUGUAACUUCAAUUGUUCUGCAUGUGUGUAUAAAGAUGCGACUAAUUAGGGUUUUAACUAGUGAACAAAAUGGAAAUUGUGCGUAUGACUAUGAAGAGCGUUGAAUCUUUUACAUGAGUGGGUGAAAAUUUAUGGUUAAAUUAAAAAUGUAUCUACAUCUAUAGGUUUGUUUUUGUGAAUAAAGAACAUUAG